rnacentral:pre_miRNA from 1 species
AAAAGUUUAAUUUGUAUGCAGUUGGAACAGCGCCCCUAGCGCCAAACGUAGGCAAACGUUCCAACUCCAUACAAAUUUGAGUUA